UACAGAGGUCUCAAGCGUUGUUCGGAAUCAUUGGGCGUAAAGGGCGCGUAGGUGGUUCUGUAUGUCUACCGUGAAAGCGUACGGCUCAACCGUAUUUUGUCGGUAGAAACUGCAGGACUUGAGGCUGGGAGGGGCUGGUGGAAUUCCCUGUGUAGCGGUGAAAUGCGUAGAGAUGGGGGGAGAACACUCGUGGCGAAGGCGGCCAGCUAGACCAGUUCUGACACUGAGGCGCGACAGCGUGGGGAGCAAACAGG
rnacentral:rRNA from 1 species